rnacentral:rRNA from 1 species
AGUGAACGCUGGCGGUAGGCCUAACACAUGCAAGUCGAACGGCAGCACAGUAAGAGCUUGCUCUUACGGGUGGCGAGUGGCGGACGGGUGAGGAAUACAUCGGAAUCUACUUUUUCGUGGGGGAUAACGUAGGGAAACUUACGCUAAUACCGCAUACGACCUCCGGGUGAAAGCAGGGGAUCUUCGGACCUUGCGCGAUUGAAUAAGCCGAUGUCGGAUUAGCUAGUUGGCGGGGUAAAGGCCCACCAAGGCGACGAUCCGUAGCUGGUCUGAGAGGAUGAUCAGCCACACUGGAACUGAGACACGGUCCAGACUCCUACGGGAGGCAGCAGUGGGGAAUAUUGGACAAUGGGCGCAAGCCUGAUCCAGCCAUACCGCGUGGGUGAAGAAGGCCUUCGGGUUGUAAAGCCCUUUUGUUGGGAAAGAAAAGCAGCAGGUUAAUACCCCGCUGUUCUGACGGUACCCAAAGAAUAAGCACCGGCUAACUUCGUG